GCCCGUUUGGCUUAGUGGUACAGCGUCUCACUCGUAUUCAAACCAACAGUCGACAUGAGAAGAUCCUCGGUUCGAUUCCGAGAAUGGGCA